GCGUUUUCGGAAAUACAUUAGGCAUACAAGGUUACCGCGCCGUAGAGCUACGAUCAUGGCAUGACCGACCGCUGUCGACGUGCGUAGUACAUGCUAGUCGAGGCGGACUGAUGGGAGCUGCUGCGUGAUGUUAGCUGCGGACGGGUGAGUAGACACGGUGGGUUACUUGCCUGUACGACUGCGGAUAAGUCCGGGAUACCCGAGGGGUAAUACGUGGAUGAAUGUCUGAACAGCAUGGAUCAACACAUAAAAAGGGUGGCUUCGGGCUAUCACGUACAGAUGGACCCGCAGCGCAUUAGCUAGUUUGGUGAGGUGAUUGGGUCACCAAAUGCAACGAUGUGUAGCCGACCUGAGAGGGUGAUCGCCCACACUGGGAAUGAGACACGGCCCAGAGUCUUACGGGAGGCAGCAGUAGGGAAUCUUCCGCAAUGGACGAAAGUCCGACGGAGCAACGCCGCGUGAGUGAUGAAGGUGCUCGGAUCGUAAAGCUUUGUUUUUAGGGAAGAACAAGUACCGUUCGAAUAGGGCGGUACCUUGACGGUACCUAACCAGAAAGCCACGGGUAAAUACGUGCCCGCCGCCGCGGUAAUAAGUAGGUGGCCAGCGUUGUCUGGAAUUAUUGGGGGUAAAGGGCUCGCCGGCGGUUCCUUAAGUUUGAUGUGAAAGCCCCCGGGUCAACCGGGGAGGGUCAUUGGAAACUGGGGAACUUGAGUGCAGAAGAGGAGAGUGGAAUUCCACGUGUAGCGGUGAAAUGCGUAGAGAUUUGGAGGAACACCAGUGGGGAAGGGGACUCUCUGGUCUGUAACUGACGCUGAGGAGCGAAAGCGUGGGGAGCGAACAGGAUUAGAUACCCUGGUAGUCCACGCCGUAAACGAUGAGUGCUAAGUGUUAGGGGGCUCCGCCCCUUAGUGCUGCAGCUAACGCAUAAGCACACCGCCUGGAGAUCCCCC
rnacentral:rRNA from 1 species